CACGAUGUAGAGGCUCGACGCGACGAGUAGUGCGAGAUACCGCUUCAAGCUGAUCGGCAUGCCGCCUUCCUGGGUCCGGCGUAGUCUCGUCAUGAUCGUCACGAUACCUUUCCAGCCCUUAGCAGCGCGUGGUGAGACGCUGAAUCAAUUGAAUUGGGAAGCGGGUGCCGAACAGGACCGACUACGCAUCAAGAGUGAAGCCCAGUCCGCGUCCGACGAAAGCGAUGGUAUUG
rnacentral:misc_RNA from 1 species